AUACUUACCUGGCAAGGGAGAUACCGUGAUCAAGAAGGUGGUUCACCCAGGGCGAGGCUCAGCCAUUGCACUCCGGCUGUGCUGACCCCUGCGAAUUUCCCAAAUGUGGAAAUCUCGAUUGCAUAAUUUAUGGUAGUGGGGGACUGCGUUCGCGCUCUCCCCUG
rnacentral:snRNA from 1 species